rnacentral:rRNA from 1 species
CAAACGACUCUCGGCAACGGAUAUCUCGGCUCACGCAUCGAUGAAGAACGUAGCRAAAUGCGAUACUUGGUGUGAAUUGCA